CCUACGGGAGGCAGCAGUGGGGAAUAUUGCGCAAUGGGCGAAAGCCUGACGCAGCGACGCCGCGUGAGGGAUGAAGGUCUUCUGAGUGUAAACCUCUGUCAGCAGGGAAGUACGCUUACUGUGCUAAUCAGCAGUGAAUUGACGGUACCUGCAAAGGAAGCACCGGCUAACUCCGUGCCAGCAGCCGCGGUAAUACGUAGGGUGCGAGCGUUAAUCGGAUUUACUGGGCGUAAAGCGCUCGUAGGCGGUAUGUGAAGUCAAGGGUGAAAUCCCCGAGCUCAACGUGGGAACUGCCUUUGAAACUGGCAAACUGGAGUGUGUGAGAGGAUAGUGGAAUGUAAGGUGUAGGAGUGAAAUCCGUAGAUAUCUGGAGGAACAUCAGUGGCGAAGGCGACUAACUGGCACAUAACUGACGCUGAGGAGCGAAAGCGUGGGUAGCAAACAGGAUUAGAUACCCCAGUAGUC
rnacentral:rRNA from 1 species